rnacentral:rRNA from 1 species
AACGUAGGAGGCGAGCGUUAUCCGGAUUUACUGGGUGUAAAGCGCAUGCAGGCGGUUCGCUAAGUUGGGUGUGAAAGCUCCUGGCUCAACUGGGAGAGGUCGCUCAAGACUGGCGGGCUAGAGGACGGUAAGGGAAGGUGGAAUUCCGGGUGUAGUGGUGAAAUGCGUAGAUAUCCGGAGGAACACCAGUGGCGAAGGCGGCCUUCUGGACCGCACCUGACGCUCAGAUGCGAAAGCUAGGGGAG